GGGGGAAGGGCUAGGAUGAAAUUUGAAAAAAAUAGGCAGGACAGGAGUUUUGAGUAAAUUAAAAAGGCAGGAUGAGACACUUGCAAAAAAAAAAAGUCAGGACGACAAUUUAGGUAAAAAAAAGUCAGGAUAAACUAAAAAAAAAAAAGGCAGGACCAAACAGAGUGAAAAAUAAAAAGGCAGGACAGAGAUUACAGCUAAAAAAAAUGCAGGACAAAAUUUUUCCAUCCUAGCCCCCCCCCCCCCCCCCAUAAAAAUCAAAUGGUAGCUCCCU
rnacentral:lncRNA from 1 species